GGGGGGGAUAAUAUAUGCUUUGGGAGUUAGGAUUUGUGUGAAUCUAUGAUGUAUUUGUUGUGUUCAUACUUCCCUUGGUGCCAUGUUACCAAUCGAUUGGUCCUUGGGUACAAUCGAUUGGAUGAACUUUCUGUUGUGAAGAAGUUGGAAUUGGAUGAAUAAUCAAUGAACUUUCUGUUGUGAAUUUGAAUAAGUUGGAAUUUUUCACAUACCAAUCGAUUGGAUGAACUUUCUGUUGUGAAUUUGAAGAAGUUGGAAUUUUUCACAUACCAAUCGAUUGGCCUUGGGAAUCAAUCGAUUAAUUCCUUUGUAUUUUUGUGAGUACGGAGUUCCAACCAAUCGAUUGGUCCUCAUUCUUUGAUAAAUUAAAAUAUGCUAGAAUUUUUCACAUACCAAUUGACCCCAACCAUGGCGGACAUGGGGGAGAGGUGGACACCUAAGUGGGUUAGAGUCUCAUACGAUGAAAGAUACCCUAAGUGGGUUAGAGUCUCAUACGGGUGACGGUCGCUUGAACUGGGGAUUAAGCCUCAUAGAGGACCCAAUAUCCACCGCGAAAGUCGAAUCAUACGAGCAUGCAUGAACCGUGCCUGGCUUAGACGUAAGUCCGUUCGGGGAUUGAUGUUUCGUAAAUCCGAAUAGUGAUUUGUUGAAUGAAUGCACUCAAGUGACAUGUUUCCAUAUAUUGCGAUUAUCACGUAGUUACUCAAGUCCUAGUUACAAGGUGCGAAUGAUGCACAUGUAACGGGAGGUGAAAACUUGAGUUAGAAUCGAGUAGGGACCAUGUAGAGCCGAGUGGACCCAUAGGAUAUGAGAACUCACUGAGAUUAUUAUCCCAUCCCAUUAUUGUUGUUAUUUUUCAGGUAUUCCUUGCAGGUUGAAUCUAAGAGAAGUUGUCUAUGGAUGUUUCAAGGGACACAAUUAUUCUGAUCUUCCGCUGUGGAGUUGUGUGCAAUGAAGAUAUUGCACAUAGUUCUUAGAUUUUUAUUGUUUAGGCAUUAUUGUAUAACAUGUUCCAUUGAUGUUUUCAUAUUCAGACAUGUAUAUAUAUUGAUGCCAUUAGGCACUUAUGUUGGAUCAGUACCAAUUACUAACACUUGUAUGAUAUUAUUCUAGGUAUAUAUUAUAUGGGUUUGUUACAUGCACUUUGAUUUUCAAAGAAAGUAAAAUUCAUCCGACUCCAA
rnacentral:lncRNA from 1 species